rnacentral:lncRNA from 1 species
UUUUUUCAUGGUGUGGCAGGCCAUUAGCCACUGUUGGCGGUGGGGUGGGGGGUGGUUUUAUUAUCUCUUCAGGAACACUGGGAAACCAGCUGUGGAAGGAAGGACAGUAAAGUCAUAAUGGAGCAGGAAUAGACUCUAAGAUUCAGCAAAGCUACCACCCAGCCCAGCAGCCCAGCUAUCUUGGGAAAGGGGAACAGGAGGUGGAUAGGAAGGAGCAAGGUCAGGGGAGGGUCAGGAGAAAAUUUUGUGUUUUUUUUGUCUUUUUGUCUUUUCUGGGGCCGCACCUGCGGCAUAUGGAGGUUCCCAGGCUAGGGGUCUAAUCAGAGUUGUAGCCACCGGCCUACAUCACAGCCACUGGCAACGCCAGAUCUGUGCCAAGGCUGCAAUCUACACCACAGCUCACGGCAAUGCCGGAUCCUUAACCCGCUGAGCAAGGCCAGGGAUCAAACCCACAACCUCAUGGUUCCUAGUUGGAUUCGUUGACCACUGAGCCACGGUGGGAACUCCUGAGAGAUAAUUUGGUAUUCUACAAUUCACUCAUUGAAAACACACAACUCAGUGGCUUUUUUAGUAUGUUCUUGGAGUCUUUGUCAUGCCAAAAAGACGCCAUGUACCUCUUGGUCAUCAUUUUCUGAUUCCUCUGUCCUCCUCGGCCCCCCAAACUCUAGGCAACCAUGGUCUCCUUUCUCUCUCUACAGAUUCUUCCUGUUCGGGAUAUUUCAUAGAAAUAGACUCAAUAUAAUGUGCAGGGUGUUGUUUCUGUCCUCUUUUGCUGAGCAGAAUGUCUUCAGGGCCCCUUCAUGUUGUAGCAUUUAUCAGGACUUUAUUCUUUUUUGUUGCUAAAUAAUAUUCUGUUGUAUGGACACAUCAUAUUUUUACUUUUAUAAAUAAGAGAAAGGAAAAGAGAAGAGGAAGGGAAGAGAAAGCUAAAGGGAAUGAGACAAGUAAGAAUCCUUCCCAAUUUAAAGUGGACGGAACAGGCCCUGCUGUGAGAAGCAAACCCAUCAUCCCUCUUGAGGACUUGUAACCAAAGGCAAAGGUAAAUAGGACACUUGGCAUCUGUGGCUUCAUGAGCCAUUUGUAGCCCAGUGGCAGCUCUUGUGACCUGGACGUGUGCAGCAUUCAGGGAGCUCAUUGUGCACAUCUUGUGUGUUGGCCAGUGUCAUUGCCCCUACAAUACCUCGUGUGGAAACGGAGAGGCCUUUGCUGAUCUAAUCUGGAUACAUUUCCCUUGGUUACUGCAGCUCUGUGUCCCCAGAGAGUCCUCGCUAAAGAGCUGCCAGUUUGUUGAGUGCUGGCAGCUGCAAGAUUAUUCCUGACUGUCCGAUUUGUUCAGUGGAGAUGACACCCAUCUUUCAGGUCCUGAUCCAUUGGCCAGAAAUAGCAACCGUCAUUCCCAUAUUUUUGGAAUGAGUGCUUACCCUAAGGUCCCCUGUCCGUCCUUCUCAGCGUAGUGUUCAGAGGGCCCUUUUAGCUAGCCAUGUGCCCUUCCGGGCUCCAGGUAGCUUUACUGUGGUCCCGUUGCUUUCUCUUGCUUUCUUUCCUGGUUUACCUGCCAAGGAACAGAGAGUCCUGACCUUCAUGAAAUGAAUGGUCAGGGUUAGGGCUGUUAGUUGCAGCACCUUUCAGCGUGUGGCUGGCUUUCCACUGUGUCUGAACUUUCAGGAUAGUUCAGAGAGUGGCUUGUUAUCACUUGUCCUAAUCCCCUGGCUCUUCUGUGGCACGUCUCCCCUAACGCGGGAACAAGAACCAGGGUAGGCAUCAGAGGAGGUGUGGCCCUCAGGUCGUAAAUCAGGUGUCAGAGCUGGAUUUCGUCACGGUGCCCUUGUGCUGCAGGUGGGGAAACUGAGUCCAGAGAGGUGAGGUGACUUACCCAAGGCUUAUAUUCGUGGAGCUCUUGCCAGUGGCAGAGCUGCGUGUGUGACACCAAGCCCUUACUCUCAGUUCAGUGCUUUUCCUUAGUGUGACACUGUGACCUGGUGGAUGCACUCAUGAUUAGAGGGCGGCUUAGGCUCGCUCCACGCCAUCAGCAGCAUGGGCUUUAAGGUGUAUGUGAGGCUUUGACGGGUGGGGGCUGUGAUGGGGAAAAUCUAGAAGCGAGAAAGAGCGAGAGCACCGGUGGAUGAGUUUGGGUGCCACCAAGGGAAAGAACCCAGCUCCUUGGGCCUUCCCCAGGGCGCCGUGUCCGAGGGGCGUACGUGCUUUUGAUUACAUGGUUGUGAUUCCUGAGAGCCCCGGGUCUGCUUGCCAGGAAAUCUGUAUGCUGCUGCUCCCGCCCAACAAACGGUCGCCCUGUGGUGCCUGCCUGGAAAGGUUUGCGUGUGGCUGUGGCUCUGUGCACGGGCUGACUUUGGCCUGAUGGGGCCUCGCCUCCCAGCACCCCUGUGCCAGGACCCUAACCCAGCCAUGCAGUGUGACCCAAACUGCUGGGACCAGGACUAAAAGCAGCGCCUCCCUGCACAGUGGAACACAAGCUGCGUGGAAGUUCCCUGCUGAGACCCGCCCCCCCCAGAACUGUCCCCUCCUCCUCAUCACUUCGCUGUCGCUUCUGAGUCACAUCCUCUCUCAGCCCUGUGUGCUCCGCAUGGGAGGUUGUGUCCGUCACUCUCCCCUGCUCAGCAGGUAGAAAGCCAUCUUUGGCAUAUUCUCGUGUUGUGACGGGCUGGGCAAGGGGCAGAACCGCUCAUACUGUUGACAGCUGGCAGCGUGAUUUCUCUUCAGAAGUUGUUUCAUAGGCCUCAGUGAUAAUUUAUCGUGACAGCCACUGUUUAUUGAAUGCUUACCGCACAUGAGUGCUGUGCUGAGUACACGUGUACACACCCCCUCAGUUCCUCACCAUUCCUCCAGCUCUCCCUCUCAGGCAGACGGAAGAAGCCGAGUCUGAAGCAUCUGAGCUUUGGGGAGGUCUGGGUCACAGAGCUGGAAAGCGGUGGAACAGGUAUUUAAACUGAGGCCUGUCUGACACUGAAGCCUGUGUUUUUAAUAACCACGCGGAACCUCCUUGAGUAGUUAAUUUGCUGAACAUUCCUGCGAAAGGGAGCUGAGUCACUUGUGCUCCCUGGGAUUUAUAAAUGAGACGUCUGUGUUAGUGAAGGGCGUGCGUAGCACAGUGUGAUUAGAUUUGGCUUUGGGAUGGCAGAGCAGGAACAAAGGGGAGACUUAAGCAGCCUCUGCCACUUCCUGGAGCUGGUUUGCUUUGGCCCAGCGUUGAGGAGUCUUUGCUCUGAGUCCACGGUGGUUUCAGGUCACUCCUGGCCGAGGCGGUUCCUGAGAGGUCGGGAGGCAGUGCUUCCAGAUUGUUUAGAGUGGGCCUUGCCCUGACUCCCGGGCCGCACUAAGGUGGGCUCAACCUGUUCCCUGCACUGGCUUGGUUUCUUGAAGUCCUCCUGGUUUAGUCAUUCAGCAAGAGGCUUUCUCUUCAGUUUUACUUUGGUUCUGUGACAUCUCCUCCUCCCUUCAGGGUUGUGGACUUGAGGAUUUAGUUGGAGUCGUACCUAAGAACAGAGGGAAUGCCGUUGCAGCGGCUCUUGGCGAUCCGUCCUGUGAAGUCCUCGUGUGUACUGGAGAUGGGGGGCCACCUCUCUCAUACUCUGCUCGGAGCUUAAGCAUUUUGUGUAUAUCCUUGAAAUGGGGGAGAGAAACUUCUCAGGAAUGAAGAGUGGUCGACGGUAAUAAGAUUUUGAGGAGCCAGGCCUUUCUCCAUUCUCCCUUGGGGGAGGAAUGCAGCCAGGAUUGAAGGGCAUUGCCUCAACCAAUUCGGUUAAGUGCCCUGUCCUGGCUUAAUAACUCGGGCAGACUUCCCGGUGGAUUUGGCAAGGUAUUGGAUUUCUCUCUCCCCAGACCCUCCCUUCUCUCUGCUCUGCACAUGUGUGCUAACGCAAUUCCAGAGAGGUUGCUUCUUGCAAUAAGAUAGCCUCUUUGCAAAGGAGGGGGCUCCUCUUAAAGAAGAAGGAGAGAAAUUCAGAGGGAAGGUGAUUGUCAGAGUUUGAGCAGCUACUGGCAGGCCGGGUUCCUCUGUAAGGGCAGGUGGGCAGGAGGGAGGGUGGCGGGUGAUUCCCAGCACGGAGAGCAUGAGCAUUUGCCGCUAAUGCUGUGCUAGAGAAAUUUCAAGCUGGCUUUUUGCACUCGUUCAUCCAGAUUGUGUCACUGAGAAUCUGGUCAUUAAAGAACAAGAGCUGUUGUUGUUGAUGAAGGUCAGAGGUUCCAGUCGUCUGAUCUGGUGGUCAAGUGUUCAGAAAUACUUUACAGUUUUAGUUGAAAACCUGAGCAGAUGUUCUCGCUGUUGUUUACCCGUGGGGAUCCUGGGGAUCUGGCGACGAGGACAUUCUUCUCCCCUCGCCUCUUCCCCACCCCUUUGGGAACCGACCAAUCACGUCGAGGAAUGGAUUUCAGUGCCUCUCUGGCCUCUUCCCAUAAGGAGUGUGCCCAGCGCAGCUCCUGGGUGUGUUUAACUCCUGGGUGCCUGAAACACAGUGAGCGGUGACAUUGUAGUUAGCUCGUGCUGUUGUUUGCGUUGACUCCCUGAACCCAUUUAAUGUUAAGUAAGCUUGCCCUGUCCCCGAGGGAAGGUUCCAAUGAGGCAAGGUACACGCAUGGAGCCUGAAGAGGCUGAUUUUUUAAGCCUAAUUCUGCCAGUAACCAGCAGCAUGACCUUGGGAGCGUUACUUUCCCUACUUGGCCUUGAUGCCCUUUCUGCCAAGUUAGAGGGAAAGGGGAGGGAGAGAACGAACAUUUAUGAUGUAGCUAGAUAGGCCAGCCACCAGCCGCAUUCCUAGUCUUAUGUAUGGCUGUCCUGGGGCCUGGGAGAAGCAUUUAACCUGUAUCGAGUGCCUGUUCUGAAGCAGUUUGCCUUUUACAUUCACUCAGUUUUAUAGAUGAGAGGCGUGAAGGCUCGAGAGGCUGUCCAGCUUGCCCAAGGUCAAGUAGCCAGGAAGGCCCAUCUGGUUCUAAUGCCCAGACUGUCUUCCAUUCCACUGGGUUGGCUAUUAAGGCCCUAAAAUCCUCCAGCAUUUUCCUUCUAAUAUUCUGAAAGCUUUAACUCCUUCAUAGCUUUUAGCUCGGCCCUGUAGAAGGACCAGACCUACUGUCUCCCCUUUCACAGCCCUGAUAGGAGAGCAGGUGAAUGACUUGGAGAUUCCUGCCGUCACCUGAAAGCAGCCAAAGAAGAUGGUGCAGCCAUUGGUUUUCUUUCUGCAUCAUAGAAAAGUUCUCACUCCUUGUAGCCAGCAUCUCCCGCAUCCUCAGCAUCCCCCUUCUCUACUGCAGGUGGAGGUGUUUUUGUUUCUCUUUACCUUGUGUUUGUUAUUGUCAGGUAAGUAUCGCUGGUUUAAGGGAGGGGUGGAAUUUUGAGGAGACUGGGGAAAAAAAAACAAACAAACCUUCUUUACUCUGAGCUCUUCUGUGACAGAGAGUUGCGGUGUUGGGCUCACCCCCACACAGAGUGGCUGUGAUUCUUUAUCCUCUGUUAGACGCGCCCCCUUUCCGGGAGCUCGACUUUUCCCUACAGUCUCUUAUCAGUUUUCUUAGCCAUCUGAUUUAGCGACAUCUUGCCCUGUGGAAAACUUUGUGUUUCUCUUCCUGCAAAUUUUACUUUUUUUUUUUUUUUAAUUUUUUUUAAAUUUUUUUGUCUUUUUGCCUUUUCUAUGGCCGCUCCCGUGGCACAUGGAGGUUCCCAGGCUAGGGGUCUAAUCAGAGCUGUAGCCGCUGGCCUAUGCCAGAGCCACAGCAAUGUAGGAUCUGAGCCACGUCUGCGACUUACACCACAGCUCACGGCAAUGCCAGAUCCUUAACCUACAGAGCAAGGCCAGGGAUCGAACCCGCAACCUCAUGGUUCCUAGUUGGAUUCGUUAACCACUGCGCCACGACGGGAACUCCAAAUUUUACUUUUAAAUUCACGGAGAAAAUAGCUUCCUUUAGGCAUGCUCUAUUGACAAUCUGUUACCAGUUUAAAAUAAAUUACAGUAGUAGCCCUAAAAUGUCAGGUUUGUUAAGGAGUCAUUUUCUGUCUUUUUGUGGUGGGCUGAGAAAAACAAUGAUAAGCAAAUCUGUAAACAACUAUGAAUUCUUAAGCCAGGCAGUGACCUAGGUGCUUUAUGUAUGUUAUUUCUGAUGUUCAUAAUACCCCACACUUAUAGAUGAAGAAAUAGGUUUAAGAGAAGCUACUUGCUCAAGGUCAUAGCUAGUGAGUGGUAAUUUAGCACUUUUGUUCCAGAUCUUUUUCACUUCCAAUCUUUCUUUCUUCAGUAUGAUGCUGCCGCUGUAAAAUGAUCUUGGGAGUUUAUUUAAUCAUCCCUGCCCAGACCUCAGCUCUGAUCACCCCAGAAAGUCCAUAUGCCUUCUUUUAAAAAGGGAAGUUACCAUUUUACAUGAUAAACUUCACAGUU